AUAGUGACAAAGUGUGUGGGUCAAUUGUUUUAGUACCAAAUGCCAAUUACCAAAUAAUUGUACCUUACAAUGACAAAGUUUGUGGGUCAAUUGUUUUAGUACCACAUGUCAAUUACCAAAUAAUUGUACCUUACAGUGACAAAGUUUGUGGGUCAAUUGUUUUAGUACCACAUGCCAAUUAUUUUAGUGGUGUGAAAUUUUUUCAUUAUUUUCGAUUAUUUUUGUGGUUGUGAAAUUUUGGCACUAUUUUCAAUUGUUAUUAUGACAAAGAUAUUUUCACUAUGUUUGAUCUCUCAUCGUUCCCGUCCUUGGUGGAGAAGCUAAAUCGUGAGAUGUUGGUUGUACACUAGUGCCCACAACAAGAUUAAAUCUGUACCUUGAACUCUGCACUAUGCAUUUUGCCGUUGUUAGUUAAACAAAACUUAUGAACUUCUUUUGAGUUAGUUGACCAAUAAAAUAACAUAAAGCUAUGACUCCUUUUAUCACAAAUAAGUAAGCUGGCCGCCUUUGCACUAAGCUAGCAAGAUUGCCUGUGUCCCUUUCCUUUCUCCAUUUCAUUUCCUUCUUUAUAUGCUGUUAUCACUUAAAUAAUAUGGUAGUGUCGCAUAAUAUUAUUAUUAGAUUGAAUAAUUGUAAUGAUUUUUUAUCACUUCAAAAAAAAAAAAAAAAUUGUAAUGACUAUUUAUAGUAGAAUAAAGGCCUGUGUGCAUAUAGCUACAUGAGAUUUCAUGCAGCCAAAGCUUGCUGCACUAGUGGCGUUUUCAAUGGAAUGAUGUGAUUUUAUAUCAAUAUAUUCAUACUAAUCUGUGCACUGAGCUUAUUCUUCAGCAAGUAAAGCAGCAUAGUACAUGAGAUUCUGAAGCCAUAUUGCAUUCAAGUUCCCAGUCAAAUGUAUGAAGCAGUGAUCCCAAAACAAAGUGCAGCAACCGGUUACUUAAUUGGAGACCUGCACACAUCCUCUGGCCUGCACCAAAUGGCAAAGAGUCAAAAUUCUGACUCUUGAAAUUAUAUUUGAGCCCGGGAACCUCUCAGGCUUGAAAGACAAAUGGUCAUCCCAGCUUUCAGGGUCUCUUCCAAUUUCCCAAACAUUUAUGAAGUUCGAGUAUCUUUAGUUGCAAGCAGAUUAACAUUACAUACAUGUGCACUGAGAUUAUUCUUCAGCAAGUAAAACAGUACAAGUCAUAACAGAGAUUGUGAGGUCACAUUGGAUUCAAGCUCCCAGUCGAAGGCAUGGAGCAGCGAUCCCAGAAUGAAAUGCACCAUCCGGUUACCUAACGGGAGGCCUACACAGAUCCUCCGGCCUGCACCAAAUGGUAGAAAUUCGAAAUCCUGCCCCUUGAAGUCUAGAUUUGAGCCCAGGAAUCUCUCCGGCUUGAAAGAUAGAGGGCCAUCCCAGCUUUCAGGGUCUCGUCCAAUUGCCCAAACAUUGACCAAACCAAGCAGUUCCAUUCCCACUCCAUCUCUUAAAGAGGUUUUGCAAUUUGCAGAUAUCUUGAUACAUUUGUGGCAGAUUGGGGCCAUAUCCGUAUCUAUCUCACAGUAAUUAAUGAAGUUACCAUUCAAUAUUGGUGUGCUACAUUUGCAGGUUUGUCUAUGUCGAAUUACUGGGAUGUGCAGUAAAAAUUUAUUCAAGCAAUCUUGGAAUGUCUUUUAUGAUACACCUCCAAAUAAUUGUACCUUAUAGUGACAAAGUUUGUGGGUCAAUUGUUUUAGUACCACAUGCCAAUUAUUGCAGUGGUGUGAGUGGUUUGUGAAAUUUUUGUACUAUUUUCAAUUGUUAUUACGACAAAAAUACUUUCAUUA